UUUUGAGGGAGGUGAGAACCCAACACCUGAGAUGGGUGCACAGGAGUUGGACUUUGUGCCCCCAGGAGGCCCUCUUAAACAGGAUCUAAGCUGCCUCUGCUCCGUCACUCACCGCUGGCCCUGGGGACACCUGGCCCCUCUGCCCUCACAGGCCCCGGGAAUUCAGGCCUUUCCUCUGCAGCUGCUCCCCACCCCUCCUUCCACCAGCCACACAGUCACCUGUGCCAUUUUCAUUUUAUAGCUGAGUCAGAUGCCAGUUCACUGUGGCCUUCCCAAGCUGCAGGGACACUGAAGAAAGCUCACCACCCUUGAUUUCAGGGAACAGGGAGGGAGGCAGCAUCCACCACGCCUGCCCUGGGGAUGAGCUGAGACGAUGGCUCCACAGGGAAAGCAGAGGCCGGUCUUGGUUGGUGUCUCUCCUCCCUCAGAGAGAGCCCUCCCCAGGUCCCCUCACAGUAAGGGCCGUUCUGACCUGCGAGGCACUAUUGAGUGUCACACUCAUGAAAAGCUUUUUUGCAAAUCCAGCUGUGAAGCACCAACAAAAUGCUUCACAUCUUCACCCUUUUACACAGACAAAGGGUGUGUGGGCUUUAAGAUCAUCUAAACUCUCACCCUCUCUCUACUUCAAAUUUUUCUGGGAAACAUCCACAGGGAGAAGACAAUGAACAUACCUCAGGGAAUGAGAGCUGGCAAAAUUCACAUCGUUUUCACUUCUUUAAUGGAGCCUAAAUUAAUUUUUUUGUAUGUUUGACCUUAUUUCUUGAAAAUACUAACUGGACAGGAUUCCUUAUAUUCAACAAAAAUUAUAAAAUGUAAAUAUCUAUUUAGGAAGCUAAAGAUAUUUUAUUAUUUAUGUUUAUGUGUUAUCUCAGUUUAACAAAUGAUUGACGUGGCAAAAGAAACAUAAGGAAAUCCUAAUUUAUAAUUAUGUGAAUUUUCUUUCUAGGUACAGACAAUAGUUUUGUGUUUGAUUUUCUGAUUUAAUAUCUCUAUUGGGUCACAGUACCACAUUUGUAAUAAUCACAAGCUUUAUGACUAGCAGAACUGUUUUUAUUUUAAAAUAAAUUGAAUGAAAG